UUUUAUAUAAAACGUCACACAUGCAUCGACACGUGUUCCUGGGUGCCCAAACUCUAGUGCUUGUUUUUUUCAAGUUUAGCUGGGGUGAUAGGGGUUGGUUCACGGGAUGUAUGGAGGCCUAAC
rnacentral:sRNA from 1 species